rnacentral:tRNA from 1 species
GGGGAAUUAGCUCAAGUGGUGGCGCUCGCUUGGCAUGCGAGGAGGCAGUGGGAUCGAUGCCCGCAUUCUCCA